UUUAGUGUGGUUUAGUUGGUUAAAGCGCCGGACUAUCGAUUCGGAGUCGUGGGUUUGAAUCCCACCAAAACAA
rnacentral:tRNA from 1 species